rnacentral:misc_RNA from 1 species
AUUGUGUUUGCUCGCAAACGAAAAAAAAACCGACUUCAAUUACAUCGACGAGUAAUACAACGUAGAUCGACGAAAAAAUAGUCAAGUAACUACGCGUUAUAAAAGAUUAUUCAAAAAGUAGUUCACAGAUCUCAAUAAAAUUUAUAUGUGACCACAUGACAAACAUCAGCUUUCGAUUAAAUUAAAAAUUAUUAAAAUCGGUACAUCCAGUAGAAAGUUAUGCGGUAUAAUACAACGUAGGUCGACGAAAAAAGCGUCAAGUAAAAACGCAUUAUAAGAUAUAACUCGAAA